rnacentral:rRNA from 1 species
AACGAACGCUGGCGGCACGCUUAAUACAUGCAAGUCGUACGAGAAAGUUUCCUUCGGGAGGCGAUUAAAGUGGCGCACGGGUGAGUAACACGUAGGUGACCUACCUUAUAGUGGGGGAUAACAGUUAGAAAUAGCUGCUAAUACCGCAUGAGCAGAGCAACUUUGGAAGGAGCUCUAGAAAGAUGGCCUCUACUUGUAAGCUAUCGCUAUAAGAUGGGCCUGCGGGCCAUUAGCUUGUUGGUGGGGUAAUGGCCUACCAAGGCGACGAUGGCUAGCCGGUCUGAGAGGAUGAUCGGCCACACUGGAACUGAGACACGGUCCAG